rnacentral:lncRNA from 1 species
AUGGCAGCUGCGUGCUGGGUGGUCCGUCCCCAGUGUCCCCCUGCAGUGGCACGGGCUCCGUCCCCAGCCCUGCUCCAGCAUCACCUCCUCGCUGUAGCACCUCUCCAAGGACAGUGCGGACACAUUUCCCUGCACCUGCAAAGCUGCAGGCCCCAAUCCCGUCCAAACACACCACCUUUUUCCUCCCAUCUUAAAAGUUCAACCCAUUUAGAAAUCCUCUCGUUUCCUCAGUGCCCACGGACUUCAGGUCCUACUGGAGAAGCAUUUUGGGGCCCCAGUACGCCCAGUGCACCGCCGUGCCCAUCUCACCGAGGUAACCAACGCAUCUCGGCAGCACAACGAGAACGGGAUGUUUUCCUACCGCUCCGUGCCCAGACCUUAUGUGGGGUGCCAAAGAGGUGGAAAUGGCUCAGGGGCCAUGGAGGAUGCACAGGGUCCUUCCCUCCUGCACCCCGCUCCCAUCUCACACUUUUGGUGCUCCAGGAUGGAUGGGACGAGAUGGGAUGGGACGAGACAGGGCACUGCCGCCACUGUGGGGCUGAGGACAGAGGUCCCUUCCUUCCUGGAAACUCAGCACAGAGUUAG